AUGACUUCACGUAGUGAGGUGUUGUCUAUUUAUAAGCGUUUUGCUGCCAUGGUUCAUACUCAGUUCUCUUCACCCAUUCGUGUUUUUCGUGCUGACUCCGCUGGUGAGUAUAUCUCUAAGAUGUUGCGUGGUGUCCUUGCUGAGCAGGGUACUCUUGCCCAGUUCUCUUGUCCUGGUGCUCAUGCUCAGAAUGGCGUGUCUGAGCGCAAGCAUCGUCACCUUCUUGAGACGGCUCGUGCCAUGAUGAUCGCCGCCUCUCUUCCGCCUCAUUUUUGGGCCGAGGCUAUCUCCACUUCCGUCUAUCUCAUCAACCUUCAGCCAUCUGCUGCUUUGCAGGGUGGUGUUCCUUUUGAGCGUCUGUUUGAUCGUUCUCCCGAUUAUUCGAUGCUUCGCUUGUUUGGUUGUGUUUGCUAUGUUCUUCUUGCCCCUCGCGAACGCACCAAACUGACCGCUCAGUCUGUUGAGUGUGUCUUCUUAGGCUACAGUGAUGAGCAUAAGGGCUAUCGUUGUUGGGAUCUCGUCGGAUGCGUAUCUCUCGACGUGACUUUUGAUGAGUCUCGUCCUUUUUACCCACGCCCAUCUUCCUCGUUUUUUUCAGUGGAGGAUAUCUCUUUCCUCACUUUUCCUGACUCCCCUAUCACUCCCGUCGCGCCUGUGCCUAUUCGUUCCACUCCCUCUGCUUCUCCACCCCUCGUCGAUUCGCCGCCACCAUCUUCCCCGGUCUCCUCACCUAGCAUGCCACCGGAUUCUACACCUUCAUCUCCGGUGACUUCUUCGUCGCCACCCCCUGAUUCUACCUUGGUGAUUCCUCCUUCUCUUGUUCCAUCUCUUCCUAAGCAUUACACUCGUCGUUCACGACAUGUGGAUGCUUCCUUGGAUGAGUCGUCCUCUUCCUCUCAGCCUACUUAUGGCUUGCGUUCUCGUCCUCGUCCGCCUAUUGAUCGCUUUGGAUUUCCCACCGCUGGUGCUGCUGUUCUUGAGCCGACUUCUUACCAUCAGGCUGUUGUUCAUCCUGAAUGGCAGUUUGCGAUGGCAGAGGAGAUUGCUGCUCUUGAACGCACUGGUACCUGGGAUCUUGUUUCUCUUCCUCCUGGAGUCCGUCCCAUCACUUGUAAGUGGGUCUACAAGGUUAAGACUCGCUCCGAUGGUUCUCUUGAGCGUCACAAAGCUCGUCUCGUGGCUCGUGGUUUUCAGCAGGAGCAUGGUCGUGAUUAUGACGAGACUUUUGCUCCUGUGGCCCAUAUGACCACUAUUCGUACACUUCUUGCCGUUGCCUCUGCACACCACUGGUCUAUAUCUCAGCUUGAUGUUAAGAAUGCCUUUCUUAAUGGUGAGCUGCGUGAGGAGGUGUACAUGCAGCCACCACCUGGGUAUUCUGUUCCUGAUGGCAUGGUGUGUCGUCUUCGUCGCUCUCUCUAUGGCCUUAAGCAAGCCCCUCGCGCCUGGUUUGAGCGUUUUGCUUCUGUGGUCACUACUGCUGGUUUUUCAGCAAGUGCUCAUGAUCCCGCAUUGUUUAUUCACCUUUCUCCUCGUGGCCGGACUCUUCUUCUUCUCUAUGUUGAUGAUAUGGUCAUCACUGGGGAUGACCCCGAGUAUAUUGCCUUUGUAAAGGCUCGUCUUAGUGAGCAGUUUCUUAUGUCUGAUCUUGGACCUCUUCGCUACUUUCUUGGGAUUGAAGUCUCUUCUACCUCUGAUGGCUUUUUUAUAUCCCAGGAAAAGUAUAUCCAGGAUCUUCUUGCUCGUGCUGCUCUCUCCGACGAGCGCACUGUUGAGACUCCUAUGGAGCUCAAUGUUCACCUCCGUGCUACUGAUGGUGAUCCUCUCCCUGACCCGACGCGUUAUCGUCAUCUCGUUGGCAGUCUAGUCUAUCUAGCUGUCACUCGUCCGGACAUCUCUUAUCCGGUUCAUAUUCUGAGUCAGUUUGUCUCUGCUCCCACAUCGGUUCAUUAUAGUCAUCUCCUUCGUGUUCUCCGAUAUCUUCGGGGCACGAUCUCUCACCGUCUCUUCUUUCCUAGCUCCAGUUCUUUACAGCUUCAGGCCUAUGCGGAUGCUACGUGGGCUAGUGAUCCUUCUGAUCGCCGUUCGCUUUCUGCUUACUGUGUUUUUCUUGGCGGUUCUCUCAUUGCCUGGAAGACGAAGAAACAGAUUGCAGUUUCCCGUUCGAGUGCUGAGGCUGAGUUGCGAGCUAUGGCUCUUUUGACGGCAGAGGUGACUUGGUUACGGUGGUUACUUCAGGAUUUUGGUGUUUCUGUCACUACCCCGACUAUGCUCUUAUCUGACAGUACAGGUGCUAUUAGCAUUGCGCGCGAUCCUGUGAAGCAUGAGCUCACCAAGCAUAUUGGUGUUGAUGCUUUCUAUGUGCGCGCUGCUGUGCAGGAUCAGGUCAUUGCUCUUCUGUAUGUGCCUUCCGAGUUACAGUUGGCGGAUUUCCUGACGAAGGCCCAGACUAGAGCUCAACAUGGCUUUUGUCUCUCCAAACUCAGUGUUGUUCCUCCACCAUGA
rnacentral:rRNA from 1 species